GACUUCCGGUUCCCGCGCGGCGCUCCAAAGCUCGGGGAGUGGUGGUCUCCCUUUCCUGGAGUCAUUUGUGGGAGUUAGGGUCUUAUCCUGAUCUUUCCUCGUCCCCCGCUCCCCCGUCCUCCGAGGUGGCAGCUGCGUAGAUCGGGGGUCAUACUACACAUCGAUCGGGACCUUAGUCAUGUUGUGAUAUGGACAGCUUUCUUACCAGUACUCAUAAGCCUGCUUCAUUUUUUACGUGGCGGCACCACUGAGUGGUUGACGAAGUCUGGAACGUUUUUUCUUAGAGUUCCAGAAUUGAGACUGAAGUGUACCCAGAGACACAAAGAAAUACAGAAGUCCAGAAUGAUCAAAUGAGAUCACUACCCAAUGAAAUGAUGGGCCGAGGAGCCAGAAGUUGUCCUACUACCUGCUUUCCAGGUCCAGAUUCCACGAGAGCCUUCUGGGCUCCCACCAGAGACCCUCAGUGAAGACUCUGUUGAAGACUUUAAGACCAUGCUAGAAAGCCUCCCGGCAGAGGUUCAGGAAGUUCUGCUAUGAGGAUGCAGCUGGCCCCAGGGAUGUCCUCAGGCAUCUCUAGGACCUUGCUGGACGGUGGUGGCUGAGACCUGAUAUCCACACAAAGGAGCAGACUGUGGAAAUGCUGGUGCAGGAGCAAUUCCAGGCUGUCCUGCCCGAGGAGCUCAGAGCUCAAGCACAGAGAUGUCAGCCUGGAAUCAGAAUCACUGGCUAAGUCUUGCUGCUUGCUUCUUGCUCAGCCUGCAUAUGAGAAGUCAACCAAGCAUUCUCUUGGAUGCAAGAUCCAACUGCACCCAUGGGAAAUCUGAACUUCCACUUUCUUUGAGCUUGUCUUUGGUUGUAAUAAGAAUCCAUCAAAACCCAUGUCUGGAUCUCUCUUUGGCUGAGGCAGCUUUAUUUCCUACAGAAAGAGUUUCUCUGUCCUCUUGUUAGGACAAUCAGCCUGCUGCUUUGGGCUUUUCCAAGAGCCUAUUUUUCAUCUGCUGGAUGCCUCUUUUUUUUUUUUUUUUUUUUUUUGCACUGUGUGACAUGCUUUAAUAUAUAUAUUUUUUAUGUAUCCAAAGAGGUAAUCAACUUUAACUUUCAGAAUUCAUGAAUCUUGGUUUGGUGGCAUGAAUGAAAGGUUAUGUAACCCCACCAGUAACUCAUUUGGGGUGCCCUUGAAAUAUUAAAGUUUGGUCCUCAAUAAAU
rnacentral:lncRNA from 1 species